AGUGAACGCUGGCGGUAGGCCUAACACAUGCAAGUCGAACGGCAGCACAGUAAGAGCUUGCUCUUACGGGUGGCGAGUGGCGGACGGGUGAGGAAUACAUCGGAAUCUACUUUUUCGUGGGGGAUAACGUAGGGAAACUUACGCUAAUACCGCAUACGACCUACGGGUGAAAGCAGGGGAUCUUCGGACCUUGCGCGAUUGAAUGAGCCGAUGUCGGAUUAGCUAGUUGGCGGGGUAAAGGCCCACCAAGGCGACGAUCCGUAGCUGGUCUGAGAGGAUGAUCAGCCACACUGGAACUGAGACACGGUCUAGACUCCUACAGGAGGCAGCAGUGGGGAAUAUUGGACAAUGGGCGCAAGCCUGAUCCAGCCAUACCGCGUGGGUGAAGAAGGCCUUCGGGUUGUAAAGCCCUUUUGUUGGGCAAGAAAAGCAGCAGGUUAAUACCCCGCUGUUCUGACGGUACCCAAAGAAUAAGCACCGGCUAACUUCGUGC
rnacentral:rRNA from 1 species